CCUACGGGAGGCAGCAGUGAGGAAUAUUGGUCAAUGGGCGCGAGCCUGAACCAGCCAAGUCGCGUGAAGGAUGACUGCCCUACGGGUUGUAAACUUCUUUUAUAAAGGAAUAGAGUGAGGCACGUGUGCCUUUUUGUAUGUACUUUAUGAAUAAGGAUCGGCUAACUCCGUGCCAGCAGCCGCGGUAAUACGGAGGAUCCGAGCGUUAUCCGGAUUUAUUGGGUUUAAAGGGAGCGUAGAUGGGUUGUUAAGUCAGUUGUGAAAGUUUGCGGCUCAACCAUAAAAUUGCAAUUGAUACUGGCAGCCUUGAGUACAGGUGAGGUAGGCGGAAUUCGUGGUGUAGCGGUGAAAUGCGUAGAUAUCACGAAGAACACCGAUUGCGAAGGCAGCUUACUAAACUGCCACUGACAUUGAUGCUCGAAAGUGUGGGUAUCAAACAGGAUUAGAUACCCGAGUAGUC
rnacentral:rRNA from 1 species